rnacentral:RNase_P_RNA from 1 species
CCAGCCGGCCGGACAGCCGCGCUCCGCAACAGCCGAAAGGCGCGGGGUGAGGAAAGUCCGGGCUCCACGGAAACACGGUGCCGGAUAACGUCCGGCGGGGGUGACCCCAGGGAAAGUGCCACAGAAAGCAGACCGCCCCGCCUGUAUUCCGGUCCAUUGUCGCCGGACCUGAAUGCCGGCGGGGUAAGGGUGAAAGGGUGGGGUAAGAGCCCACCGCGUUCCUGGCGACAGGAACGGCACGGUAAACCCCACCGGGAGCAAGACCGAAUAGGGAUGACGCGGGGCUUCGGCCUCACCCCGUUUCCGGGCAUGUCAUCCGGGUAGGUUGCUAGAGGCAGGGUGCAAGUCCUGUCCCAGAGGAAUGGCUGUCGCCGCCGCUCCGGCGUGCGGUACAGAACCCGGCUUACAGGCCGGCUGGCGCU